GAUGAACGCCGACAGAAUGCUUAACACAUGCAAGUCUACUUGAUUCUACUUCGGUAGUUGAUGGUGGCGGACGGGUGAGUAACGCGUAAAGAAUCUGCCCUUUAGUUUGGGGUAACCUUUGGAAACAAAGGCUAAUACCGGAUAUUAUGGAGACGUCGCAUGACGACUCCAUGAAAGCUAUAUGCGCUAGAGGAGGAAUUUGCGUACAAUUAGUUAGUUGGUGAGGUAAGGGAUCACCAAGACCGCGAUGGGUAGCCGGCCUGAGAGGGUGAUCGGCCACAAGGGAACUGAGACACGGUCCUUACUCCUACGGGAGGCAGCAGUGGGGAAUAUUGGACAAUGGGCCACAAGCCUGAUCCAGCAAUUCUGUGUGCACGAUGAAGGUCUUCGGAUUGUAAAGUGCUUUCAGUAGGGAAGAAAAAAAUGACGGUACCUACAGAAGAAGCGACGGCUAAAUAUGUGCCAGCAGCCGCGGUAA
rnacentral:rRNA from 1 species